rnacentral:ncRNA from 1 species
CUGGGGGGAGCCGCUUAUUUGGCUGAGAGGUCUCAAUUCCGAGACGACCCCAGGAACCUGAUCCGGUUAGAACCGGCGUAGGGACGAGUGAG